UAUGUGAUCGUCUCUCGCAUAUCAAUAAGCGGAGGAAAAGAAACUAACAAGGAUUCCCCUAGUAACGGCGAGUGAAGCGGGAAGAGCUCGAAUUUGAAAUCUUAAAGGGUUUCCCUUUGACGAAUUGUAGUUUAAAGAAGUGUUUUCUGUUGAGGUUUUGGUAAAAGUUCUUUGGAAUAGGACAUCAUAGAGGGUGAGAAUCCCGUAUUUGACCUUCACUUUCAACUUUGUGAUACACUUUCAAAGAGUCGGAUUGUUUGGGAAUGCAGUCCAAAAUGGGUGGUAAAUUUCAUCUAAAGCUAAAUAUUGGCGAGAGACCGAUAGCGAACAAGUACCGUGAGGGAAAGAUGAAGAGAACUUUGAAAAGAGAGUUAAACAGUACGUGAAAUUGUCAAAAGGGAAGCGUUUGACACCAGUGUUGUUUUUCUGAAAAUCAAUUAAAGAACUGUUUAUGCUAAGCUGUUUAGACUUUAUCAGCUAAUCUGUUUAGUUUUGAGCUUUUCUUUAAUGCACUUUUCAGUUAACAAGUCAACAUCAAUUUCUUUUGCUGUAAAAAAGCUUGAGGAAGGUGGCUUGAGAUUCGUCUUAAGUGUUUAUAGCCUCUUGCCUAUGCAGUCGGAGAGAUUGAGGUCUGCAGCGUAGAUCCUUCGGGGCUAAAUGCAUUUGUGCUAAGUUAUAGCAUUUUAUAGACAACUUGUUGACUAUGAUUUGUCUUGUAGCUUACUCGCUUAUGUUAUUUUACCUACGCUUAGGAUGUUGAGUAGCGACAUACGCAC
rnacentral:rRNA from 1 species